GAUCAUGGCUCAGAUUGAACACUGGCGGCAGGCCUAACACAUGCAAGUCGAACGGUAACAGGAAACAGCUUGCUGUUUCGCUGACGAGUGGCGGACGGGUGAGUAAUGUCUGGGAAACUGCCUGAUGGAGGGGGAUAACUACUGGAAACGGUAGCUAAUACCGCAUAACGUCGCAAGACCAAAGAGGGGGACCCUCGGGCCUCUUGCCAUCGGAUGUGCCCAGAUGGGAUUAGCUUGUUGGUGGGGUAACGGCUCACCAAGGCGACGAUCCCUAGCUGGUCUGAGAGGAUGACCAGCCACACUGGAACUGAGACACGGUCCAGACUCCUACGGGAGGCAGCAGUGGGGAAUAUUGCACAAUGGGCGCAAGCCUGAUGCAGCCAUGCCGCGUGUAUGAAGAAGGCCUUCGGGUUGUAAAGUACUUUCAGCGGGGAGGAAGGGAGUAAAGUUAAUACCUUUGCUCAUUGACGUUACCCGCAGAAGAAGCACCGGCUAACUCCGUG
rnacentral:rRNA from 1 species